UUGGCUUGAUCGAUGUGACUUCUACUUCGGGAGUAGUCAACUCUAGACUUUGUUUUGUGUGUUUUUUUUAGGUACUGACCUGUUACUGUGAUAAGAGGUGAAAUAAUUGUUAGCUCAUACAAUAUGUACUGCCUGGAUAUCUGAAUCAUACUCCGUUUUACACUACUAAUGAACUGUGAUGCAUGACUUUACUCUGUGACUUGCAUGAACUGUGAUGAUCUGCGGACCACAUUAUUUUAUAAGUGUGCAUGUGUACUUACUGGGCUUUAGUUCAUUCCUCUCUUUUUUU
rnacentral:lncRNA from 1 species